CAAUAAGACGAGCUAUAAGACAGACUAGACCCCACGCGACGAGCUAUAAGACAGACUAGACCCCACACGACGAGCUAUAAGACAGACUAGACCCCAUACAACGAGCUAUAAGACAGACCCCACGCGACGAGCUAUAAGAGAGACGAGACCCCACGCGACGAGCUAUAAGACAGACUAGACCCCACACGACCAGCAAUAAGACAGACGAGACCCCACACAACGAGCUAUUAGACAGACCAGACCCCACACGACGAGCUAUAAGACAGACCAGACCCCACACAACGAGCUAUAAGACAGACUAGACCAGAACCCACACGACGAGCUAUAAGACAGACUAGACCCCACACGACGAGCUAUAAGACAGACUAGACCCCACACGACGAGCUUUCAGACAGACUAGACCCCACACGACGAGCUAUAAGACAGACUAGACCCCACAAGACGAGCUAUAAGACAGACGAGACCCCACACGACGAGCUAUAAGACAGACCAGACCCCACACGAUGAGCUAUAAGAGAGACGAGACCCCACACAACGAGCUAUAAGACAGACUAGACCCCACAAGACGAACUAUAAGAGAGACGAGACCCCACACGACGAGCUAUAAACAGACUAGACCCCACACGACGAGCUAUAAGACAGACUAGACCAGACCCCACACGACGAGCUAUAAGACAGACUAGACCCCACGUGACGAGCUAUAAGACAGACCCCACACGACGAGCUAUAAGACAGACCAGACCCCACACGACGAGCUAUAAGACAGACUAGACCCCAUACGACGAGCUAUAAGACAGACUAGACCCCACGCGACGAGCUAUAAGACAGACGAGACCCCACACGACGAGCUAUAAGACAGACUAGACCCCAUACAACGAGCUAUAAGACAGACCCCACGCGACGAGCUAUAAGAGAGACGAGACCCCACGCGACGAACUAUAAGACAGACUAGACCCCACACGACCAGCAAUAAGACAGACGAGACCCCACACAACGAGCUAUUAGACAGACCAGACCCCACACGACGAGCUAUAAGACAGACCAGACCCCACACAACGAGCUAUAAGACAGACUAGACCAGAACCCACACGACGAGCUAUAAGACAGACUAGACCCCACACGACGAGCUAUAAGACAGACCCCACACGACAAGCUUUCAGACAGACUAGACCCCACACGACGAGCUAUAAGACAGACUAGACCCCACAAGACGAGCUAUAAGACAGACGAGACCCCACACGACGAGCUAUAAGACAGACCAGACCCCACACGAUGAGCUAUAAGAGAGACGAGACCCCACACAACGAGCUAUAAGACAGACUAGACCCCACAAGACAAACUAUAAGAGAGACGAGACCCCAACGACGAGCUAUAAACAGACUAGACCCCACACGACGAGCUAUAAGACAGACUAGACCAGACCCCACGUGACGAGCUAUAAGACAGACUAGACCCCACGUGACGAGCUAUAAGACAGACCCCACACGACGAGCUAUAAGACAGACCAGACCCCACACGACGAGCUAUAAGACAGACUAGACCCCACGUGACGAGCUAUAAGACAGACUAGACCCCACGUGACGAGCUAUAAGACAGACCCCACACGACGAGCUAUAAGACAGACCAGACCCCACACGACGAGCUAUAAGACAGACUAGACCCCACACGACGAGCUAUAAGACAGACUAGACCCCACGCGACGAGCUAUAAGACAGACUAGACCCCACACGACGAGCUACAAGAGAGACGAGACCCCACACAACGAGCUAUAAGACAGACUAGACCCCACAAGACGAGCUAUAAGACAGACUAGAUCCCACGCGACGAGCUAUAAGACAGACUAGACCCCACACGACGAGCUAUAAGACAGACUAGACCCCACGCGACGAGCUAUAAGACAGACUAGACCCCACACGACGAGCUAUAAGACAGACUAGACCCCACGCGACGAGCUAUAAGACAGACUAGACCCCACGCGACGAGCUAUAAGACAGACUAAACCCCACGCGACGAGCUAUAAGACAGACUGUGUGUGUGUGUGUGUGUGUGUGUGUGUGUGUGUGUGUGUGUGUGUGUGUGUGUGUGUGUGUGUGUGUGUGUGUGUGUGUGUGUGCGGAGGGGGGGGGGAGGGGGUGAGUGAUACAGGGUCAGAUGUAUAGAGAAAACCAGAGAGAGAGAGAGGCAAGUUUUGUUCUGAGUAAUGGGUUGAGUAACAAACAUCACUAUACUUACCUUCGACCUGUCCAGUCUUCUGUGAGCUGAGUAGUCUGGUGUCGGCAGGAGGGGAGGAAUGAGAGAGGGCAGUAAGGAAAGCAGGAGGGGAGGAAUGAGAGAGGGCAGUAAGGAAAGCAGGAGGGGAGGAAUGAGAGAGGGCAGUAAGGAAAGCAGGAGGGGAGGAAUGAGAGAGGGCAGGGAGGAAUGAGAGAGGGCAGUAAGGAAAGCAGGAGGGGAGGAAUGAGAGAGGGCAGUAAGGAAAGCAGGAGGGGAGGAAUGAGAGAGGGCAGUAAGGAAAGCAGGAGGGGAGGAAUGAGAGAGGGCAGUGAGGAAAGCAGGAGGGGAGGAAUGAGAGAGGGCAGUAAGGAAAGCAGGAGGGGAGGAAUGAGAGAGGGCAGUAAGGAAAGCAGGAGGGGAGGAAUGAGA
ensembl:lncRNA